rnacentral:misc_RNA from 1 species
ACUUGCGCACAGACACGACGGUGCUUGUAGAAGACAGGGGCUAUACCGCCGAAAGGGCCCUAGCUCCGGACAGCCACCCAAAAACACAUGCAUGCGCAUGUCCAACGCAUCCUCUCGCUGUUCCACAAUUGGCACCUCAUGAACGCGUUUGAGCUAGAAACGCAAAAAAAAACGAAUUUCUAUGGGCAGGUAACUGCCAUCACCGAUAGAUGAACUCCGCAGCGCGCGCGUGGUUGAGUGUGCGACGCAAUGAGCAGCACAAGCUCCAUGAUGGCACCGCUGCACAGGUGGAGCGUCUGCACGUUCUCAUUGGAGGCGCCUCGCGGCUCGCUGUAGUGAGUGGUGGCUCUGCAUUGUCUUUGCGGUGUCAACUGGCGACUGCAGCUGCUCCCGUUCGCGUUGCGGGUGCCAAUAUGAUGGCCGCGCAGUUGGCGAAUGCUCAGUCUGCGCUCCGUGACGAAGAGCGCACAAGCCGUAGCCUACUCCUACAGGAGGAAGCUGAUGCCCGCAUCACGAUUCUUUGUUCUGUGCUUCACUGCGUUCUUCGCACACGAUACGCAGGCGAGAACGAUGGUGAUGCGUGCAAUGCGGUAGAUGAUCACAGCUCCCUCUCUAGCAUGGCCCCUACGCUGCACGCACCGACACCGUUCGCCAGCAGGGACGUGCGCCGCUGAUGAGGGAGGGGGGAGGGGCUGUAUUUUUUUUUUUGUGUGCUUACGUUCCUUCAGUACCGCCUCCACACAUAUACGCAUGGACGAUUGUCUGCAGCCCUGUGUGCUGCCGUCUGCACACAUCAUAUCAGCGGAUACCUCGCCCCCUGCCCACUGCUCUACGCGUAAGACAUGACGCACGUACCGCAAAGAAGAACGAAGGCGACGCCCACCACUGACGGAGCACCUCGGAGAGAAGAAAGCAUGAGUGGCGCACUGCGGCGAGGGUGUAUGGGCGUCCCUCGGUGCUUCUGCUCGAGGAAAGACGGGAAAGAGAGGUCGUUGCGUUCGCGCUGCCACGAAAGUCAGGUAUGGUACCUCCACUAAAGCUCCUCUACUCAGCAGUGUUUUUUCUCUGACCUGCCGCAAGCGCAUGCGCCUGCUCGGCGCACGUGGCCGCGCCCCUCCUCUCCGCUUUCUGCUGCCACAAACCUCCCUUUUCCCAAUAUUCCCCUCUCUCUCUGUGCGCGCGUGCGCGUGUGUGUCGACACCGCAG